CAAAGUGUUUGUUUUUGUUGUGAUAAAGUGAUUGUGCGUGCAGUGAUUUACCCGGAUGAGGGAUUGCUGGAGGCCAAGGAUACCACGGAGAGCAUAAAAGAGAAUCCCUUGAGUGCCUCAAGGCGAUCUCUGAAGAGCUCGUUAAAUAUUAGAAUACCUGGUUAUGCUUCUCUAGCUGAUCUCACAAAAACAAAAAAGUAGAAUGCAGAAAGGUUCUGGAAGCUUAGGAGUAAUCUGUAACGUUAUAGAAGUAGACUGUGAAGGAAUCUCAUUGAAACAGGAUUAAGAAAGGAACUCCUCCACUUGAAAGGACACGCGAUGGCAGCAAAUGGAUCAAUCCUUCUUUACCCUCAAAGAACUUCUUGUGAUCGAUAGAGUCUGUGAGAGAUUCAAUAAUGUGGCACAGAGAUUUUACAGAACACACCAAGUGAUGGAUUUUUAUAAAAUCUUUAAAAAGGACUCUAUUCGAUUAACUAAGGAUGAUGUAGUUGAGAUAUCUCGUCGUAUUGGACCACAUAUUCACACAUUUAGAGCCUCACGUGUAGCCUUUGCCAACUCUAUCAUGGAUGUUUGUGAAUUUCCCUUUAAGGCAAGGCAAUUGAGUUUUGUAGUGAUAAAAAAUUGCGAAAUAUUUACUUUUAUGGCUUCAUAUUUCUAAGUAUUUGGAAGGAACAAAUGAAGAUCCUUUCGCGGGCUUUCAGUUCCCUGAAAACAGUUCAUUUGCAAAAUUACACAGUCACAGAUAACUUUGAGAGUUGUUUUGUGGAUUCCAACCCAUAAAUCCUCAAUUUUUUAUAAAAUUUUGUCAAAAUUUUGUGCGGAAACUCAACAUAAGAGGAUGCAAUAUUCUCGAUGAAAAGUGCUUAAGAGCCAUAGUGAGUAAUUUUAGGGAACUAGAAGAACUCUCAAUUUGCAAUAACCUUUCAGUUUGUCUUCUAGAUUAUGCCAUUUUGGCGGAUAUUGUGAGCUUAAAGGUUUUGCAAAUAAACUAUGAACUCU